CCGCCCGGUCACAUCAUGGGAGUUGGUAAUGCCCAAGUCGGUGAGUUACUUCGGAGACCAUUGCCUAAGGCAGGACUGAUGACUGGGGUGAAGUCGUAACAAGGUAUCCCUACGAGAACGUGGGGAUGGAACACCGUGGGGCUGGAUCACCUCCUUUU
rnacentral:rRNA from 1 species